GGGUUGUGAGGUUAAGCGACUAAGCGUACACGGUGGAUGCCCUGGCAGUCAGAGGCGAUGAAGGGCGUGCUAAUCUGCGAUAAGCGCCGGUAAGGUGAUAUGAACCGUUAUAACCGGCGAUACCCGAAUGGGGAAACCCAGUGUGACUCGUCACACUAUCAUUAACUGAAUCCAUAGGUUAAUGAGGCGAACCGGGGGAACUGAAACAUCUAAGUACCCCGAGGAAAAGAAAUCAACCGAGAUUCCCCCAGUAGCGGCGAGCGAACGGGGAGGAGCCCAGAGCCUGAAUCAGCAUGUGUGUUAGUGGAAGCGUCUGGAAAGGCGCGCGAUACAGGGUGACAGCCCCGUACACAAAAGCGCAUGUGCUGUGAGCUCGAUGAGUAGGGCGGGACACGUGGUAUCCUGUCUGAAUAUGGGGGGACCAUCCUCCAAGGCUAAAUACUCCUGACUGACCGAUAGUGAACCAGUACCGUGAGGGAAAGGCGAAAAGAACCCCGGCGAGGGGAGUGAAAAAGAACCUGAAACCGUGUACGUACAAGCAGUGGGAGCACCCUUCGGGGUGUGACUGCGUACCUUUUGUAUAAUGGGUCAGCGACUUAUAUUCUGUAGCAAGGUUAACCGAAUAGGGGAGCCGGAGGGAAACCGAGUCUUAAUUGGGCGUUAAGUUGCAGGGUAUAGACCCGAAACCCGGUGAUCUAGCCAUGGGCAGGUUGAAGGUUGGGUAACACUAACUGGAGGACCGAACCGACUAAUGUUGAAAAAUUAGCGGAUGACCUGUGGCUGGGGGUGAAAGGCCAAUCAAACCGGGAGAUAGCUGGUUCUCCCCGAAAGCUAUUUAGGUAGCGCCUCGUGAACUCAUCUCCGGGGGUAGAGCACUGUUUCGGCUAGGGGGCCAUCCCGGCUUACCAACCCGAUGCAAACUGCGAAUACCGGAGAAUGUUAUCACGGGAGACACACGGCGGGUGCUAACGUCCGUCGUGAAGAGGGAAACAACCCAGACCGCCAGCUAAGGUCCCAAAGUCAUGGUUAAGUGGGAAACGAUGUGGGAAGGCCCAGACAGCCAGGAUGUUGGCUUAGAAGCAGCCAUCAUUUAAAGAAAGCGUAAUAGCUCACUGGUCGAGUCGGCCUGCGCGGAAGAUGUAACGGGGCUAAACCAUGCACCGAAGCUGCGGCAGCGACACUGUGUGUUGUUGGGUAGGGGAGCGUUCUGUAAGCCUG
rnacentral:rRNA from 1 species